rnacentral:rRNA from 1 species
ACUAGGCUGUUGGCGUAGAAGCAGCCAUCAUUUAAAGAGUGCGUAAUAGCUCACUAGUCGAGUGACACUGCGCCGAAAAUGUACCGGGGCUAAACAUAUUACCGAAGCUGUGGAUUGUCCUUUGGACAAUGGUAGGAGAGCGUUCUAAGGGCGUCGAAGCAUGAUCGCAAGGACAUGUGGAGCGCUUAGAAGUGAGAAUGCCGGUGUGAGUAGCGAAAGACGGGUGAGAAUCCCGUCCACCGAUUGACUAAGGUUUCCAGAGGAAGGCUCGUCCGCUCUGGGUUAGUCGGGUCCUAAGCUGAGGCCGACAGGCGUAGGCGAUGGAUAACAGGUUGAUAUUCCUGUACCACCUAGUAUCGUUUUAAUCGAUGGGGGGACGCAGUAGGAUAGGCGAAGCGUGCUGUUGGAGUGCACGUCCAAGCAGUAAGGCUGAGUGUUAGGCAAAUCCGGCACUCAUAAGGCUGAGCUGUGAUGGGGAGAGGAAAUUGUUUCCUCGAGUCGUUGAUUUCACACUGCCGAGAAAAGCCUCUAGAUAGAUAACAGGUGCCCGUACCGCAAACCGACACAGGUAGUCAAGAUGAGAAUUCUAAGGUGAGCGAGCGAACUCUCGUUAAGGAACUCGGCAAAAUGACCCCGUAACUUCGGGAGAAGGGGUGCUCUUUAGGGUUCACGCCCAGAAGAGCCGCAGUGAAUAGGCCCAAGCGACUGUUUAUCAAAAACACAGGUCUCUGCUAAACCGUAAGGUGAUGUAUAGGGGCUGACGCCUGCCCGGUGCUGGAAGGUUAAGAGGAGUGGUUAGCUUCUGCGAAGCUACGAAUCGAAGCCCCAGUAAACGGCGGCCGUAACUAUAACGGUCCUAAGGUAGCGAAAUUCCUUGUCGGGUAAGUUCCGACCCGCACGAAAGGCGUAACGAUUUGGGCACUGUCUCAACGAGAGACUCGGUGAAAUCAUAGUACCUGUGAAGAUGCAGGUUACCCGCGACAGGACGGAAAGACCCCGUGGAGCUUUACUGUAGCCUGAUAUUGAAAUUCGGCACAGCUUGUACAGGAUAGGUAGGAGCCUUUGAAACGUGAGCGCUAGCUUACGUGGAGGCGUUGGUGGGAUACUACCCUAGCUGUGUUGGCUUUCUAACCCGCACCACUUAUCGUGGUGGGAGACAGUGUCAGGCGGGCAGUUUGACUGGGGCGGUCGCCUCCUAAAAGGUAACGGAGGCGCUCAAAGGUUCCCUCAGAAUGGUUGGAAAUCAUUCAUAGAGUGUAAAGGCAUAAGGGAGCUUGACUGCGAGACCUACAAGUCGAGCAGGGUCGAAAGACGGACUUAGUGAUCCGGUGGUUCCGCAUGGAAGGGCCAUCGCUCAACGGAUAAAAGCUACCCCGGGGAUAACAGGCUUAUCUCCCCCAAGAGUUCACAUCGACGGGGAGGUUUGGCACCUCGAUGUCGGCUCAUCGCAUCCUGGGGCUGUAGUCGGUCCCAAGGGUUGGGCUGUUCGCCCAUUAAAGCGGUACGCUAGCUGGGUUCAGAACGUCGUGAGACAGUUCGGUCCCUAUCCGUCGUGGGCGUAGGAAAUUUGAGAGGAGCUGUCCUUAGUACGAGAGGACCGGGAUGGACAUACCUCUGGUGUACCAGUUGUCGUGCCAACGGCAUAGCUGGGUAGCUAUGUAUGGACGGGAUAAGUGCUGAAAGCAUCUAAGCAUGAAGCCCCCCUCAAGAUGAGAUUUCCCAACUUCGGUUAUAAGAUCCCUCGAAGAUGACGAGGUUAAUAGGUUCGAGGUGGAAGCGUGGUGACACGUGGAGCUGACGAAUACUAAUCGAUCGAAGACUUAAUCAAUUUUUAAA